AAAUAAGGAGCAUCGGCUAAGAGCGCAACGUCCUGUUGCAAUGCCGAUGUUAGCACAUCCUUGUGCG
rnacentral:sRNA from 1 species